rnacentral:rRNA from 1 species
GGUAUUUUGACCGUGCUAAGGUAGCANAAUCAUUUGGUUUUNAAUUGAUAACUGGAAUGAAAGGUUGCUCUUAUUUUAAUUUUUGUAAAACUNAAAUAAUAAGUNAAAGUNAGGGUAAGAAUUCUUUAAUUUUCNAGGGGACGAUAAGACCCNAGAAGCUUAAUAUAGAGUUGUACUUANAGAAAAAGUUGAUUAUUUAUUUUACUGGGGCGGUAGGAGUAAACUUACUAUUUGCUNAAAAAAGAUCUUUAAAAUUAAGANAAUUGGGAUUAGUUACUCUAGGGAUAACAGUGCAAUUUUUUNAGAAAGACCUUAUUGAUGAANAAGUUUGCAACCUCGAUGUUGAAUUAAGAUGUCUAAGUGAGGUAAAAGGUACUAAAGAAAGGUUUGUUCAACCUUUAAAGUCUUACAUGAUCNGAGUUCAAACCGGA